GACGGACCAUCCAAACGUUAUUCGGAAUUACUGGGCUUAAAGGGUGCGUAGGCGGCGCGGAAAGUUGGGUGUGAAAUCCCUUGGCUUAACCAAGGAAUGGCGCUCAAAACUACCGUGCUCGAGGAAGACAGAGGUGAGCGGAACUUAGGGUGGAGCGGUGAAAUGCGUUGAUAUCCUAAGGAACACCGGUGGCGAAAGCGGCUCACUGGGUCUUUUCUGACGCUGAGGCACGAAAGCCAGGGUAGCGAAC
rnacentral:rRNA from 1 species